AGGCUCACGUGAUGGCCCGGGCGAGCUGGGCGGGCGCGGGUCUCCGGGACGGUCUGGGGUGGCUAGGGGGUGCGGCGCCCGGCGGGGAUCCGAAUAGGGGGCAGCCAGCGUACGGUGUGGGAACUCGGGCCGGCGCGGGAGCCUGCGGUCAAGGGGGCUCAGCACUUUGUAAACAAGGAGUGGGAAGCGUUAAAAAAACGCUCGUAGGGAAAACCAGGGAAGGGCGGACAUAGCGCCAGGGUGGCAGGAAUGGAGCCCGGGCAAAGACGGCCCUGCCGUGGGCCCUAGCGCUCCCUUCGUCGGCCCCUGGAGCUGCGGCCGGGCGUGGGUCAGUCGUUCACGGGCCCGGAAAUUCCACUGGGACACCCGAAAAAGUGCUGCACGCCGCCUGAGGGAGACGGAAAGGGACCCGGGGCACUGAGUCCAUUGCUGGGGUCGCCAGGGUACGUGGCAGGACCCGCUGUGCACACUCGGGACUGAGGAGACCCCUGGGACGCGGAGAGCCGCUCCAGGGCAGAACCAGUCCGUCAGCAUUUAGCCUUCCACGGGCCUGAGGGUGCGAGCCCUGCGGGGGCCACAGGGUCAUUGUCCAAAGUCAUCCCCGUUUGCACUGUGGCAGCACCGAACCCGGAAGUAACAGCUUUGGCAGGUCUUUGAUGGUGAUCCAGUGGCAGGAGGAGCUCAGCUGGAAUGGGAAUCAGGAAAGAGACCUGGCUUCUGCCAUUUAUUGGCACUUCACCCUUCUGAACCUCAGCUUUCAAAUGAGAGCUGGCUUCUAGGUCUAGAAUACAGUGAGUGUGAGAAAAAUAACUGAGAGGCGUUGGGACUUCAGUAACUACUCAUUCCUUAACCAGUUGUUGAUUGUGCCUGUUGUGCCAGGAUGAAAUAUUUGUUAAUAAUAGAGACCAGAAAGGAGAGGGGGGAAAAAACAAGCAUAUGUAUGAUUCAAGCAAUGAAGAGCUACUCUCCGGAGUUGGCUCUUUCCUGUGCUUCACUUCGUACUUGAAGAUGCCACAAUGCCUGGCUUCCUUAUCAACCAGCUGAACUCCGAAUUGUGCCUUACAGGAUGCGAAGAAUCCGGUAGGGCAGUGGCAAGACUUUAACAGCUGUGGUUUACAACCUUCUUAUUAAAUUAAGUCUAAUGCGAGCUAAAGUGUUAAGAUAGUCUCCAUUUAGAAAGGAAAGAGGCUUACAAUGAGAAUUUUUGAAAAAUAAGCCUGAGACUGUGCUGUCUCUAUCGUUGCAUUUGCUUUUCACAGUCCUUGGCACCCACUGCCUUUUUGUCUCCCUCGGUUUCUAACCCGUUCUGUUUUCUUGCAUUUGUUCAGUAUAAGGAGUAUUUCCUGUAUGCUUUGGCAACUAUUUUCCAUAGACUCUGCUUGUGUUCUCCUUAUAAAACCAGAACAAGAGCAGUGCAAAAAAGAAAACGACCCUGAUAGGAAUGCGCUGAUAACCUUACUUUCCCUACUCUCCAAACCUGAAUUGGGCACCCUUGGUUUUAGCAAGAGAUAGAACUCAACAGUUUGCAUACACUUGCGGAUCUGCCUGUAACCCCACUUCCUAUUUCACAGCCUAAUCUCGGAUGAUACCACAAUGCCCACAGUAUGCUGAUCACCACCAACAGCAGAUGGAGGCGGAUAAAAAGAGCUUUCUCGCUAGUGUGUUGUUUUAAAAGAACCUGAUGGAGAGCUAUGAUCAUAUGUAACACUGCCUCUAGUUAGUUUUUAAAUAACACUUGUAGCAUAUGUCUGGCGCCUGUGCUCAGGAUUUCAACAGAUCAUUUUCAGGAUUUUGACAUUUAACUGGCUUCUUAUGAAGUAGCAGAGAGUUCCAAAAUGUAGAACUGAAAUAUAAGCUCCACACACAGGCAGAGAUUUGAGUCUGAUUUGUUUGUGUGUAUAUCCCAAGUGCCUAAAAGCACUUGGCAUACGGUAGAUGCACAAUAGAUUCCUGUUAAAUGUAUUUUUAGGUGAAAAUGUAGUCUGUACUUUGCAUAAACUUGUCCUACUUUCUUCCUAGUUCUUUAAUAAGUAACCUACUUUUCAUUAUAUAUUUUUAAAUGAAAAAACAAAAUUAUAUCUGGCAUCACUACUUUGGCUGGGCUAUAAAGAAACAGGAAUUUGGCAGUAUGUAUUAAAAUUACAAAUGCAUAUAUACUCGGAGCCUUGAAUUUCAUUUCCAGGGAUUUAUGCCACAGAUGUUUCCACACAUAAGAAAUAACAAGGUGUUUCUUAUUGUUGAGAAUAGCAAAAGAUUGGAAACAAGCUAAGUAUCUAUCAACAGGAUACUAGUUAAAUUAUGAUAGAGCCAUAUGUUUGAACAUUGUGCAGCUGUUAAUCAAAAAAACAGAAAGUUCUUUGUUUUAACAUUAAGAUCUCCAAGAUUUUUUUGUUAAGUGAAAAACACAGAAAUACGGUACAGAAUAUUGUAUUAAAUUGUAUAUGCAUUAAACUAGGACAAAGUAACAUGAGGUAUGAGAACACAGUAGAUGGAAAGCAUAAGAAAUAGACUUCAUUGUAUUCAUAUUUAAACUUUUUGAUAUUCAAAAUUUCAGAAUGUUUUAUCUAUUCAAAUAGUGAAAAUGUUUAAAAUUUUUCUGGCAUCUUUUUGUUGUUGUUGUUGUUAUUAAAACAUUCAGGCUUCUUCUGUUUUAUAAAAGUUUACCUGAGUAAAAUAAACAUAUCAAGGAGGCUGGGUGCAGUGGCUCAUGCCUAUAAUCCCAGCACUUUGGGAGGCUGAGGCGGGCAGAUUGCUUGAGCUCAGGAAUUCAAGACCAACCUGGGCAACAUGGCAAGACCCCAUCUCUAAUGAAAAUACAAAAAAAAAAAAAUAGCCAGGCAUGGUGGUGUGUGCCUGUGGUCUCAGCUACUCCAGAGGCUGAAGUAGGAGGAUCACUUCAACCCAGGAGGUGGAGGUUGCAGUUAGUCAAGAUUGUGACACUGCACUCCAGCCUGAGUAACAGAGUGAGACCAUGUCUCAAAUAAAUAAAUAAAUAAAUAAAUAAAUAAAAUCAGGUAAGCUAGUGCUCAUAGGCAAACUUUUGAAAACCUCAGAGUUUUUGUUCAGAUUGAAUGAUGUCUGUUUCUUACCGUAAUAAUUUAAAAUCCAGGUACAUUUAUUUUGAGGCUUAGUAUACAUUUUAUCAAAUGUAUAUAAAUUUUCAGAAGUACUCUAUUUUUCUUCAAGUUUAGUAGAGCCUUCCUUGAACAAGUUUUAACAAAUUGGAUCCUCCAUUUUAAACAAUAAAAUUAGAAUUUCAUGGAUCAUUUGUCUGUUAAUUAAGGUCAACAAAAUAUAUUUUGGGAAAAACGCUAAAGGCAUAUGUUUCUCGUGUAUCUGUUCACUCACCCAUUUUGUAAUAUCAACUGCUUCUUGUUUCCAUGGGUUACACAGAUGCCCUGUAAAUGAUUUUGUCUGAUAUGUUUCAGUAUUUGAUUAUAUUUAUUUGUGGGCUUAAUUUCCAGAAAUCUCAAAGAGAAUAAUGAGUACAAUAGCAGUCAGAUUUGCAUAACACAUCUUUAAGGGUUUUAGGAGAUUUAUUAAUAUUUUCUUGUGAAAUCUCACUGCUUUCACUAUAUAAAUUCAUAUGAUCAGUUUUAACUAUUAUUAAAGACAAAUAUUAGUACUUGUGGUCAGGUGUGGUGACUCACACCUGCAAUCCCAGCACUUUGGGAGGCUUAGGCAAGUGGGUCACCUGAGGUCAGGAGUUCAAGACCAGUCUGGCCAACAUGGUGAAACCCCAUCUGUACUAAAAAUACAAAAAAUUAGCUGGACAUAGUGGUGCACGCCUGUAGUCCCAGCUACUCAGGAGGCUGAGGCAGGAGGAUUGCUUGAACCCGAGAGGCAGAGGUUGCAGUGAGCCAAGAUGGUGCCAUUGCACUCCAGCCUGGGUAACAGAGGGAGACCCUGUUUCAAAAAAUAAUAAUAAUAAUUAGUACUUGUAAUAGUUGAUUAUACAAAUUAGGACAUUCUUGUCAUACCCAACUAACUCAAAGAGUCCAGGAGUGGGGGGAAAAAUCACUCAGGGCACAUAGCACCAGCUCCAAAAAUUAAAUUUUCUGCAAGCCCAGCUGCUAAAACAGCCUGCUGUAACCAUAAGAAUAGUUUUACCUAGUAGCUGCUGAAAUGACCUACUGUGACUCAUAGACUAGUGUUACCUACUGCUGUCUUCAGCAAUCAGAGUUUGCCAGCUCCCCAAAGCUUCUCCAGUAGCAGUGAGCUUUCUUUUAAAACAAAACAUAACAUUUCUCCUUCUAAUAAACUACCAACCUUCUUUUUGUUCUUUGAGCAUACCAAAGACCACCUGUAUGUGCAUAUAUAUAUAUAUAUAUAUAUAUAUAUAUAUAUCCCAAAUUCCAAUUCUGUGAUUCCCAAAUAAGAUGUUUAGAGAUUCAUCUCUAUAUUUUAUUUUGAUUUCUACAUACUUGAAGUCAGAAGUGGGAUCCAAAGCAGGCUCACCUUGGAGAAUUAGCACCUGGAAUGUGGCAUGAAGUACCCAAAUUCAGGCCUCUUGAGCCCCCAAACUUCUACGAGCCACCUCUUUUCCCCAUGGUGAGUCUCUGUUGGCUUGAACUCAUAUUUUUUCUUUUGGUUUAGUUCAGUUUUAUUUGGGAAUUGGUUGGGAGGCAUCCUUCCCCGCUACCAGCUAUGAAAUCUUCUGUUUAGGGGAACUUUCUCCCUCCUUGCUAUAGACUUGGUUAAGAUGAAUACGUUUUUCUUCCUGGUUAUGAGGACUCCUGUUUAAAAGGGAUUUUUUUCUCUCUUUUGUUAAAGAAGGCUUAUUAUCCCUCUUGGGGAGUACAUACUUUAUUUUCUGAUUCAUUUGCACACUUGGAUUUUAAAUUGGUUUUUGUGGCCAGGCGCCAUGGCUCAUGCCCGUAAUCCCAGCACUUUAGGAGGCUGAGGCAGGCCGAUCAUUUGAGCCCAGGAGUUCAAGACCAGCUGGGCAGCAUAGUGAGACCCCAUCUCAUAUAUAUAUAUAUAUAUAUAUAUAUAUAUAUAUAUAAGUUUUUGUGUAUUUGUCAUUAAACCAAGUCAGCUAAAUUUAUUUACAAAUGGGCUCUCAAAGUUCAAAGGCAUGCCAAAAUAAUUCCCCCUUCUGAGACUCCAGCUGACGUGUUCAAACAUUAUAGGGAUCAUUAAAAAAGUCCGUUUUUCUUAAAACUAAAGUAAAGGGCCACAUCUAUGAAAUCAUACAGUCCAAAUAGGACAGAUAUCUCAAUUGGUAUCUUGAGGCUCAAAGACUCACAUUCAAGACUCAAAGAUUGCCUCACUGCAAAGUACUGUCACAAAGCUACCUGGGACUCAUUCUUCCCCAAAACCUUUCCAUCCCCUUCCUCCUCCUCCCCUUUAUCCUUCUCUAUGCUAAACUCUCUUUUUCCAAAACUCCUCAACUAUUCUGGCAUACUGAUUAAUAAGAAUCUAUUCUUGGCCGGGCACAGUGGCUCACGCCUGUAAUGCCAGCACUUUGGGAGGCCAAGGCAGGCAGAUCACGAAGUCAGGAGUUCGAGAACAGCCUAGCCAGCAUAGUGAAACCCUGUCUCUACUAAAGAUACAAAAAAUUAGCCAGGUGUGAUGGUGGGCCCCUGUAAUCCUAGCUAUUUGGGAGGCUGAGGCAGGAGAAUCGCUUGAACCCGGGAGGCGGAGGUUGCAGUGAGCCGAGAUCACGCCACUGCACACCAGCCAGGGCAACAGUGUGAGACUCCAUCUCAAAAAAAAAUUUAAAAAAGAAAAUAUAUUCUUAAUAGUUACUAUUAAAACUGUAGGGUUUUUUUUUGAGAUGGAGGAGUCUCUCUCCAUCGUGUAAGCUGAAAUGCAGUGGUGCAAUUCGGCUCACCGCAACCUCCACCUCCCAGAUUCAAGCAAUUCUCGUGUCUCAGCCUCUCAAGUAGUCGGGAUUACAGGCGUGCACCACCACACCUGGCUAAUUUUUGUAUUUUUAGUAGACACAGGGUUUCUCUGUGUUGGCCAGGCUGGUCUUGAACUUCUGGCCUCAGAUGAUCCACCUGCCUCAAACUCAAAGUGCUGAGAUUACAGGCAUGAGCCACUGAACCAGCCAAAACUUUAGUUUUCAUAGUAUUUCUAUAGUUAUUCUGGCCUUAAUGCUGUUUCUUAAAGGCAAAAGAUGAAAUUUCCAUGUAAAAGACACCUUCCCUAUACUAGAAGGAAAGGCAGCACUCUUAGUCUCAAGAAUAAGUAAUAGAAACCAAGAAAAUAUUGUAUAAAGCUCGUUAGAAUAGCUCUUGCAGGGUGUGGUGACUCACACCUGUAAUCCCAGCACUUUGGGAGUCUGAGGCGGGAAGAUCGCUGGAGCUCAGGAGUUUGAAACCAGCCUGGACAACAUAGUGAGACUUUAUCUCUACUACUUAAAAAACAAAACAAAACAAAACAAAAAAUCCCAGCUACUUGGGAGGCUGAGGCAAGAGAAUUGCUUGAACCCAGGAGGUGGAGGUUGCAGUGAGCUGAGAUCGCACCACUGCACUCCAGCCUGGGCAACACAGCUAGACUCCGUCUCAAAAAAAAAAAAAAAAAAAAAAAAAGCUGGGCGUGGUAGCACGGGCCUGUAGUCCUGGCUACUUGAGAGGCUGAGUUGCUGAGGUAGGAGGAUCGCUUGAGCCCAGAAGGUCGAGGCUGCUGUGAGCAGUGAUCACACCAUUGCUCUCCAGCCCUGGCAACAGAUUUUUUUCUGUUGCAAGACCCUGUCUCAAAAAUAAAUAAAUAUAAAAAUAAUAACUCUUAUCUUUUGGGGCUCCUCACAUAAUUGUCAUAUUUUUCACAGCCCUUUUUUGUCCAAUCCAGUAUAUUGGUAAUGACUCAAACUGCUUUACCCAAAAUUUGUUUCCCAGCCUUUUUAAGAUUACUUAUUAAAGAAACAAAGGCCAGGCACAGUGGCUCGUGCCUGUAAUCCUAGCACUUUGGGAAGCCUAGGCAGGUGGAUUGCUUGAGGUCAGAAGUUCAAGAGCAGCCUGGGGCAACAUGGCCCUGUCUC
rnacentral:lncRNA from 1 species